GUGAUGUUGGCCGAGUGGUUAUGGCGUUGGGUUUAAGUUUUGUUCGCAGAUCGAUCGCAGAUCGCAGAACUGUUGCACACCUCCAAUGGAUUUUAUCCGCGUGAGUUCAAUCCUCACACAUCACA
rnacentral:tRNA from 2 species